UCUCCAAUUGGCCAUCGGGGCCUCGUGAUGCAGCUUGAGAGAUAUUUCUGGUAAGUCAAAGGUAUUUAAUUUAAUAAUUUACGAUAGGUUUAUAUUCUAUUUAUUAAUAUACGCUUGCUUCUAUUUGUAGAGGUACUACCAAUUCUUAUCUCCUCAGGAUGAAGAGGUUGACCGAUCGAUGUUCGAGCAGACGGCCUCACAU
rnacentral:lncRNA from 1 species